rfam:Triticum aestivum genome assembly, contig: Triticum_aestivum_CS42_TGACv1_scaffold_112749_2AS
AUUGUACUCCCUCCGUCCCAAAAUCGUUGUCUUAGAUUUGUCUAGAUAUAGAUGUAUCUAAUACUAAAACGUGACUUGAUACAUCCAUAUUUGGACAAAUCUAAGAUAAGAAUUUUGAUACGGAGAAAGUAGGAA